rnacentral:rRNA from 1 species
UACGUAGGUGGCAAGCGUUAUCCGGAUUUACUGGGCGUAAAGAGCGCGCAGGCGGUCGUGCAAGUCGCGUGUGAAAGCCCCCGGCUCAACUGGGGAGGGUCACGCGAUACUGCUCGACUUGAAGGCAGGAGAGGGAGGCAGAAUUCCCGGUGUAGUGGUGAAAUGCGUAGAUAUCGGGAGGAAUACCAGUGGCGAAGGCGGCUUCCUGGCCUGUUCUUGACGCUGAGGCGCGAAAGCUAGGGUAGCAAACGGG